CAUCAGUGAGUCACACAUGUCAGCAGAGCUUAGAAGUGAAUGGGGAAUAACCACAGAAAGCCGGAACUUGUGUGUCAUCACUAUGAAAUGGUUCAGAAAGAGAGAUUGGUAAGAUUAGGGCACACCUGACUUGCUGGCCUUCAUGCAGGUCUCUUGGUCUGGAUAGGUAAAGGUUUCCAAGCAAGAGUUACGAGCACUGCACACGCAUUCAUCUCCUGCUUUGUCGCAGCCAGUGAUUUGAGGGCAGCGCUCAUCUUCAAGGCCUGCAUCUGGCUGGACAGGGAGAACUGUCAUAGAAAACAAGGAGAAAAGAAAAUAUUAGACUAACUGUCAGACAAGAUUUUGUAAGAGGAACAAAGAAUGACUGGACAGAGUAUGGGGCCCUCCCAGGGUGUGCAUCUCUGGCGGCUGCAGCAACGCCUCCUCUGAAUGGAAGCCACUCACAACAACAACUGCCUGCAGCCGUGUCUCUCAUUGAGCCUCACCCCAAGAUGGCACCAUGCAGCUUAUAGGCCCAUUUGGAAAGAAAACAAUGAAGGAAUGUCACGUUAGAGAUGUGUGAGCUGAAUAUCCAACAGGAUCUUGGGAUUAAAGGGCCCCACCGUACACAUACCUCUUAGUGUUCCCUUACCUUUCAUGCAUGAAUAAUGAUGCAGAGAUAUACCUCAUGCAGAGAUAUAUCCUUCAUUGCAUCACAUACUAACAAUGGCUGUUGGGUAAACAUGGUGAGACAAACGGUGAGUUAUCUAUAAAUCAACAGAUUUCUGAAGGAAAGUAUUAUAAUUUUGCCAUUGGGAUAGUCAUCUGAGCUGUGGAUCUUCUGAAGCUCUCUUGGAGUUUUCUUUGCUGCUUCUCUGAUUAUGUAACACUUCGGUGUAACCGAACUCUUCUUUGCACCAUCGCAAUGGAUUUUACUGU